UAUUACACCUCUAUUAUUUAGCUGUGUUUCAAGAAUACAAUGUCAAUUGGAAGUUUCUUAUCUUCUUAGUUACUCAUCGUGAAAGCUUACAAAAAACACCUUUGUAUCACACUUUUCUCUUUGUAUAAUUGCCAUGAAUACUGUUUAUUUAAAGUAUUCCUGAAGCUUGCAUAUUUCCACAUAAAAUACACUGUUAUUGAUAUAUAUUGAUAAUGCAUGGUUACAAAUAGAUUUUUCAGCAUCUAAUAUUGUUGGAAAUGAAAUGUGCAAUAAAUGAGUGUUCAAAAUAUUGCUUGCAUUUGGUUUUAAUGUACAUUUAAAAGGCAGUACACAACAGAUUUUCUAAUGAAUCUUCACUGUUCUAACAAAUAUGCUGCACUUAAAUGUGUGUCUCCUUGUGUCUAGCCAUUGCAAUCGAUGCCUUGGCACAGCAUUCUUCACAUAUCUACAGUGUGACUGUUUGAACCAUUAUGUGGAACAGGAAAAAUCUUUAAUCAUUACACAAAGGCAAAAAAACAUCAUGGUAUUUGUACUUGUACAAUACUAUGAUGGUAUUGUGUGAAAACUAUCAGACAAUGGGGUCAUUCAAUUCAUCACAGCACCUAUCUCUGCUGGGGUGUUUGUCAAUGUCUUGUUUGUUACACUCAUGUAUAAAAAAGCUUUGGUCACACUCGGCAAUAACACAGAGUCAUGGGUUGUUUUGCCUUGUACUUCUUGCUCCUGCUGUGGUUAUUACUUCUUCAUGAUGCUCUAAAAGCAGCUUCCAGUCCAACAGGCUGUGCAGGUCCACCAACUUUGUGCUGCUCUGGUAAAAACUCCAGCUGUUACAGGGGGUGUUUCUGUGACUCGUAUUGCCUGAUUUUUAACGACUGCUGUGCUGACUACAGCUUAACGUGCACAUCUUCGGUCACUAAACCACCAACAACUUCCAGCACAACAAGCAGCAGCACUACACCAGUAGUGUCUGCAACCACAGCAACUAGACAGGCGGGCAGGAAUACUUCUACAAGUGCAGAUGGCAGCACAGUCUCCGUAACAACAGCACACAGCAAUUCUUCAUCUACAUUACCAGAAGUCACAACAACUACAGCAUCCAGAGUUUUGGAUUCUACAGUGCUCCUCACAACAAUAAACACGACAACAUCUACAAUGGUGGAAGUGAGUAAGACGUCAGCAUCGACAGUUUCUGCUGACGUGUCAGCUACUGCAACAACCAGCCAAACGAGCAACAGUACACCUGCACCAGCAGAUAACAGUGCAAUCUCCACAACUAAGAGCAAUACUAACUCCACGCUAGCAGAUGUCAGCACAACAUUAGCACUACCACUCCCUCUUACCACAGAACCCAGUACACAAGCAGAUCUAACUCCAUAUUCAUCAUCGGAAGUCUCUCUAACAACAGCACCCAGUACAACAAGUAGCCCAAAUGUGUCCACACCACUAAGUGUGAGCACCACCACACCACCCAUAGCUUCUGCUACUACAUCAACCAUCCAAACGAGUAGUCACACUGCACCAGCAGAUGGUCUUACAACUACAGCAACACCAGCUACAGGUAAAUACAUUUUAUGUAGGAUUAGUUAUUUUGAUUCAUCUCCUUUGACACACUCACUAAUUCACAGCAGAACCACUGACAGAAUCCAGGACAACUCUAGAUACUGGUGGUGUCACAUCUUCACCAGCACAUGA
ensembl:lncRNA